AAUGAACGCUGGCGGCGGGCUUAACACAUGCAAGUCGAGCGAGCGGCGGACGGGUGAGCAGUGGCUGGGAAACUGCCUGAUGGAGGGGGAUCACUACUGGAAAACGUAGCUAAUAGCGCAUAAGAUGCGUUGUGGCCACAUGGUAUUAGCUAGUAGGUGGGGUAAUGGCUCACCUAGGCGACGAUGCCUAGCGGGUCUGAGAGGAUGACCAGCCACACUGGAACUGAGACACGGGCCAGACGCCUACGGGAGGCAGCAGUGGGGAAUAUGAGACAAGGGGGGAAAGCCUGAUGCAGCCAGGCCGCGUGUGUGAAGAAGGCCUUCGGGUUGUAAAGCACUGUCGGCGAGGAGGCGGUACUCGCAGAAAAAGCACCGGCUAACUCCGUGCCAGCAGCCGCGGUAAUUC
rnacentral:rRNA from 1 species